CUUGUAGAAAAGUUCCAUUCUGCCAAAUCUGGUUGCUCAAUUAACCUCUUGGCCAACAACUACAAUUAAAAGCUUCAGAAAGGAGACGAGCUACAGAGACAGAAGAAGAAAACAUUUUCUCUGCAACAG